UACGUAGGGUGCGAGCGUUAAUCGGAAUUACUGGGCGUAAAGCGUGCGCAGGCGGUUCGUUGUGUCGGCGGUGAAAGCCCCGGGCUCAACCUGGGAAUGGCCGUUGAAACUGGCGAACUGGAGUGUGGCAGAGGGGGGUGGAAUUCCGCGUGUAGCAGUGAAAUGCGUAGAGAUGCGGAGGAACACCGAUGGCGAAGGCAGCCCCC
rnacentral:rRNA from 1 species